rnacentral:lncRNA from 1 species
GAAAAAAAAAGAGAGCUGCAGAAGCCUGCAGAAGGGAUGCUGGGGACAGAGGAGGAAUAUAGUCUGGUCCUUGAUGAUUAACGAUCACUGGACAGACCCGAAACCUGAAAUGACCAGACAGACCAGUGUCCAUGCUAAAGUUCCCGCAAGAUGGGAAUUGAAGAGAGACAAGCGAUGAAACAGCACGUGCUUUGGGAAGACAAAGACAAGGUGAACAUUCAGUGCUGGAGCCAAGAAAGGAACUACGUGCCCUGCAAAGAAUUUAGAGAAUGAAGGCAGCUGUUUGUAUGAGUUACUCUGCAGUGACUUUUGCUUCCAGAGGAAACUCUCCCUUUCAAUACUUGAAAUGGACUUUAUAUGGCAACACUGCCCACCGGUACUUCCCAGAGGAAUACAGAUACUUUCCUCAGGCAAGAAAUCCAGCAGAAUGA